rnacentral:RNase_MRP_RNA from 1 species
UCGCAGUGCACAUGCAGGGAGCCUGCUCCCACAGAUGCUGCGUGGAAAGUCCCCGUGCCUCCGGGCAGAGAGUGCCAGCGGGAGACCGCACGGCCCCGGUCAACAAAGGCGGUGAAGCCUCUGGCAGAGCUGCAAUGUGUAGCUUGGGGGGCUCUUUGCAACAGCGCGGAUAUGCCGUGAACGUCUGCAAGGGCGUCAACUGAAUGGGGCUUACUC